rnacentral:rRNA from 1 species
UACGAGGGGGGCAAAUGUUGUUCGGAAUCACUGGGCGUAAAGGGAGCGUAGGCGGGUUCUUAAGUUAGGUGUUUAAUCCCGGGGCCCAACCCCGGACCGGCACUUAAAACUGGGAAUCUUGAAUAGUGGAGAGGUCAGUGGAAUUGGGGUGUAGCGGUGGAAUGCGUAGAGAUCCCCAAGAACACCAGUUGCGAAGGCGGCUGACUGGACACAUAUUGACGCUGAGGCUCGAAAGCAUGGGGAGCAAACAGG